rnacentral:rRNA from 1 species
CAAGUCAAGGGGGCCCGCAAGGGCAACCGGCGAACGGGUGCGUAACACGUGAGCAACCUACCGAUUUGUGGGGGAUAGCUGUCCUAACGGGCAGGUAAUACCGCAUACGCUUUCCGGGAGACCUCUCCUGGUUCGGAAACUUUCGAGGCAAAUCGUGGGGCUCGCGGCCUAUCAGCUAGUUGGCGAGGUAACGGCUCACCAAGGCGACGACGGGUAGCUGGUCUGAGAGGAUGGCCAGCCACAUUGGGACUGAGAAACGGCCCAGACUCCUACGGGAGGCAGCAGUGGGGAAUCUUGCGCAAUGGGCGAAAGCCUGACGCAGCGACGCCGCGUGGGGGAUGACGGGUUUCGGCUUGUAAACCCCUGUUGCCCGGGACGAACUUCUCCUUUCGAGGAGAUUGACGGUACCGGGUGAGGAAGCACCGGCUAACUCUGUGCCAGCAGCCGCGGUAAUACAGAGGGUGCGAGCGUUGUCCGGAAUCACUGGGCGUAAAGGGCGCGUAGGUGGCGCUCCAAGUCCGUGGUGAAAGCUCGAUGCUCAACAUCGAGUCGGCCACGGAGACUGGAGGGCUCGAGCACUGUAGGGGCAGAUGGAAUUCCGGGUGUAGCGGUGGAAUGCGUAGAGAUCCGGAAGAACACCGGUGGCGAAGGCGGUCUGCUGGGCAGUAGCUGACACUGAUGCGCGACAGCGUGGGGAGCAAACAGGAUUAGAUACCCUGGUAGUCCACGCCGUAAACGAUGGGCACUAGAUGCUUGGGGGAGCGACCCCCUGAGUGUCGUCGCUAACGCAGUAAGUGCCCCGCCUGGGGAGUACGGCCGCAAGGCUGAAACUCAAAGGAAUUGACGGGGGCCNGCACAAGCGGUGGAGCAUGUGGUUUAAUUCGACGCAACGCGAAGAACCUUAC